UAUUUUAAUAUUGGGUGGAGAAAUUUUUGUGUGUUGUGUUGUAUCAGCUCAUUUUAAUAUUGGGUGGAGGAAUUUUUGUGUGUUGUCUUAGCCGUUUUAAUAUUAGGUACGUUAUUUUGUUCUGUACUUUUGAUCCUGUCAUAUAGACUACUAUGAACUUGAAGUUCACUAUAAUUUCUUAGUUUAUCACCAGUAGGCGCUGGCGACGAUCUUCCAUAUUCUCCGUUAACAGUUUGUUCUGUAUUCCGGUGAGUUUAUAAGCUCAAAACUAAAGAGCAAGAAGAAAUAUUAAUUUUUGGAAACUUCGAGAACAAGUACACUACUAUUUCGGGUUCCAUCGAAUAAAGAAAACAGUUCUUUUGUUUCGGACCUCGUGCCAUACGUCACUAUCAACUUUUACCGCCAAGUAUCAUCUGAGGAGCCAAUACGUUACAGGAGAGGCUGAAAUAGUCUAAUCGGUGGGAGAGAAAAGUCCUAAGUGUCAUACAGAAACUUGUAGUACGCCUAUUUGUGGGAAGAUUGCAAGGAAUUAAAUCUGGUUGUAGUGAGAAAUAGAUCGGUUUAAGUACAAUUUGUCACAAAAGUUGAGUGGCUGUUGACGGAAGUAUCUUUGAGGAGCCAUUAAUUUUUGUUGGUGUGGAACUGGCGUAGACAAGUUGUGACGUCAUCUUCUUCAUGUGCAAAUGGCGGCGAAACUAAUCUCGUGGAUUUUUCUUGGUGUAGUCAUCAUAGUGCGUGCAGUAGAACCGCCCAAGAUUUUACCCUUCCACUUCCUGAAUGUGGAGUUCGGUGCCCAGGUUGUCGUCAUAUGUGGGCUUUCUAAAGGUUCACCACCAAUCAAGUUUACAUGGAAGAAAAAUGGAAAAAGGCUUAGCCCCUCGGAAGAUAAAAUCGAAUUUGUAACUUAUGCUGAUGUUUCGACUUUAAAAAUAAAGAAUUUGGAAGGCAGCGAUUUUGGUAACUAUACAUGUGUCGCCAGAAACGACGCUGGCGAAGACAGCUACGCCUCUCAGCUGAUUACCAAAGGUAGGAACUUGGAACAAUUAUCUCUCAGUUAGUUCUGGCUUAUGGUUCUGUAACCACUUAUAAAACCGAUUAUUGAAGUCCGUCGUGCCGUUUCUACGUGUAUAAUACUAGAUAUUUCAGAAGGACAACUUGUAACGAUAAACAUAACUUAUGUACUACGUCGUGACACUGAAACGUAUAAUAUUGCAACCUGAGGGUGGUUAGGUGUAAAUGGAAGAUACGCUCACAAAACAAAUAUUUUGGCUCAUUAUACAUAGCCGCUAGAGGGAUCUACUAGACCAGCGGUUCUCAAAGUUUAGUAUUCAAAAGACCCAUUUCAAUUUACGAUGUGUUCGUGAAUCCUCAAAACCAUCAAAGUUUUUGUCUUGAAAAAAAUA